GUCUUCUGCUGCCAACGUCGCUGGACUCCAGGACAGGUCAGGCUGAUCAUUUCUGGGACCACCCUUGUAUUUGGAAAAUUGGGGAAAUUUGCUUACUUUGUUUAUUCUUGCGCUGAAACAGUUUCCUGCAAGUAAAAGAAAAAUUAGGACACCUGUCUUUGCUGCAGCACAAGUUCAGAAGAGGAAGGCACUGCAGUCUGUGAAGAGUCACAUAGAGGGCAGCACUGAGCUGUUCUAGGAUCAGAAUAUAUGAAGACUCCUAAGAACUGCAAAGCAGUUGAUAUAGAAAAGUGUAAAUAAACCUGUCACACCCGCGAUAUUCACUCUAGUAAGACCUAAGGUAUAAAUAGGUGAACGGGUAUCAGAAAAGUCAACAAUAUCUAAUCAGGUAUUUGUCAUAUGAUCUACAUAAUACAGAAUAUUUCCCUGAAUAGCAUUUUAGUAACAUGAUAUGUUGCUCCAGGUGAUUGGAGUAUUAUGUUAGAGAUUUUCCUUUUAGAUUUCCCCUUUGCGUCAUUUCAAGUUUUAGAUCUUUUAAGAGGAAGUGAAAUAAUGUAAGAACAAAGAAGAAUGAUCUAGAUAGAACAUACACUGUGACUGUGUAAUGUACAAUUUCACUAAAAUGACUGAAGGAAAAAGUUUUGGUACCAACAAGACACUGACUACAGAACUAACCUGCAGA